ensembl:snRNA U6 U6 spliceosomal RNA
GGGCCCCCUUGGCAGCACAAACAAGAAAACUGGAACAAUCCAGGCCAGAUUAGCAUGGCCCCUGAGCAAGGAUGACAGGUGGAUUCAUGAAGCAUGCCAUGUUUUU